UUCAUUGUUUUCUACUCCAUUGUUAUGCACACACACACACACACGAGUGGUGCAUAAAUGUUUUAUUGCUAUUUAUCCUUUCAUGAGCUGGAUGUGCCAUUGAUGGCGAUGGCGAGCUUGGAUUAGUUGGAUUCAGAAGGUUGAGAUGAUGGAUGGUACGGAAACAUUUUUAUUAGAAAAAUAGCAGAUGACAUGCAUGCUGAUUCUCCGGUUCUGAAGAUAUAUAUUUGACACAGCACAUGCUUAAGUAUAUAUGCACAUUCGACUUUAACUAUUGUAAAAAAGUUUAUCACAUCAAAUUUAUUUCAGCAAACUUUCAGUUGGCUCUCAUCAGUGAGCUAAUUUUAUAAAAAAAAUCUACAAAAUAACUGAUAAUGAAAUUUCUUAGCAGUACUGAUAAUGAAAUAGACCCAAAGUGGUCGGACCCUUCCCCAGACCCUGCGCAAGCGGGAGCUACAUGCACUGGGGCUGCCCUUUUUUUUUACUGUAUAUGUCAGGUGCAAUGAGAUAGUUUUAUCCUAUGUGACUUCCUGUCUGUUGCAUUUCCUGAUUUCGUUUUUCUCUUCAUUUUUUUAGGUUCCAAGGUUUGGCCACAAUAUUUGGAGACAUUUCCUGUUAGGAGUUAAGGUUUGGCCACAAUAUUGGGAGACAUUUCAUGUUAGGAGUUAAGCUUUGGUUUGGAGGCAUUGAACUUUGGCUGUAAAUAACUAACUUUGUUACUUGGUAUACUUCUCUCAGUUCAUGUAAACAACUAUCUACCACACCACACUGGUUAAUCUGGGAUUUCCUUCGGGACCAAAUGUACCAAAUCCUGCUUUGAGUGGAGAUCUGAUCAUUCCUAUAUUGUUAGAUUUGACUUUCAUCUAUGUGUUGCUCCGCGUGUAUCUCGGCAUAAAUGGUUCAUCAUACUAUGAUCUAAUGUAGUGAUUUUAAUUAUGUUACUUCUUGGUGAAUAUGCAUUACAUUGUAUUUUCAUGGAAGCCUUUUC
rnacentral:lncRNA from 1 species